rnacentral:rRNA from 1 species
UGUUGGCGAUAUACUGUCAGCGGCCAAGCGAAAGUAUUAAGUGAUGCACCUGGGGAGUACGCCGGCAACGGUGAAACUCAAAGGAAUUGACGGGGGCCCGCACAAGCGGUGGAGCAUGUGGUUUAAUUCGAUGAUACGCGAGGAACCUUACCAGGGCUUAAAUGUAGUAUGACCGGCUUAGAAAUAGGCCUUCUCUUCGGAGCAGAUUACAAGGUGCUGCAUGGUUGUCGUCAGCUCGUGCCGUGAGGUGUUAGGUUAAGUCCUGCAACGAGCGCAACCCCUAUUCUUAGUUGCCAGCGGUUCGGCCGGGGACUCUAAGAAGACUGCCAGCGCAAGCUGAGAGGAAGGUGGGGAUGACGUCAAAUCAUCACGGCCCUUACGUCCUGGGCUACACACGUGCUACAAUGGUAGAGACAGAGGGCAGCCACCUGGUGACAGGGAGCGAAUCCUUAAACUCUAUCUCAGUUCGGAUCGAAGUCUGCAACUCGACUUCGUGAAGCUGGAAUCGCUAGUAAUCGCGCAUCAGCCAUGGCGCGGUGAAUACGUUCCCGGGCCUUGUACACACCGCCCGUCAAGCCAUGGAAGCUGGGGGCACCUGAAGUCGGUAACCGUAAGGAGCCGCCUAGGGUGAAACUGGUAACUAGGGCU